ACAUCGAAAAUGGAUUUCACUGCUGUUUCUGCGCACGCGCGAGGAGCAGUAGCUGCGAGAGAGAAAUGUGGGGACUUUUGGUGCUCAAGAUUUCUCGUCGUUUAGGUACAACGGGGAAGAAAACCGUUUGCUCCGUUUGUCCCUAGCCGAAGCACAGAAUCGACAGGAUGCGUGGCCGGCAAGGCGGAAGAAGCUGCGUCCGAGCUGUCGUCUUCUCGGAAGCAGGCACUCAUGCUUGGAGACCGGCAGAGCACAAACUGCAGCAUGUAUGCCGAAAUAAACAGCUGUUGCCUAUUUCAAAUAGAACCAAUGUAAGGUGUGGUGAGCCCGGGAGACAGCAAGAGCCGCAGGAGUCCUGGACUAAGGGCGCCUCCCACACAAGCAGAAAGACACCUGCUUUUCCUUUCUUUUCUGUAAUAAAUGUUUUUUCUUCUCCUCCUC